CGCCCAUGGCGUUCCAUGUGGGGUUGGAGUCAGCAGCCCCAGGUUAACAUAUCCUGGUUCGGCACCAUCCGUGUGAUUUACAGUCACCUGGGUCCUAGGCCCAGUGAUCACUGAUUGAAAGUGGUCGGGAAAGGGACCUCUGUGUCUGGUGUUUCACGCAUAUUAUCUCAUCCUUUAUGGCAGACCUGUUCUCAUCUCCAUUUGACUGGUGAAGAAAAUGCAGCUCAGAAAAGUUCAGCAAACUGCCCAAGGUGACGCAGGCUUGCUUACAGUGACACUGAUGAUAGAAGCCUCUACUGACAACUACAUCGUUGAUAUGAAGGGAGAAGACCAACCAAAGACUGCAGUCUGGACCUGCAGAAGGAGGUGGACACAGACCCAACCCAAAAUCAUCACCAGCCCAUGUGCUGCAAGCAAAUUUAAGACAGAAUGAAUAUUGAAAUCAGUAAAGACUUGAAUUUAAAUCUCAGCUUUGCUAUUUAUUAGCUGUGAGAAUUUGGGUUGUCACUUUGCCUCUCAGAGCCUCCAUUUUCCUUUCUGUAAAAUGGGAACAAUAUCACAGUGUUCCAAAGGGCCAGUGGGAUGAUACAAUGAAAUGGCUCCCAGCUGAGGACUCUUGUCAUGCAUCACAACUGUCUUCACCUGCUUUUAGUGGCCCCAUCAGACUCAUUGUAUUAAGGGAGCUCAUUAAAAAUGGCAAUGAUGGUGUCCUUAAUAGGAAUGGUGAUGACAAGGAUGGAAGUAUAACUCAACCUCAAGAAAUCGACCUCAGGCUUAGAUUUAGCCUGCAAGGUAGGAUAUCAAACAACAGGGAACUUGACAAUCAGGAUGAAGACAUUCUUCAGACACUGCGGUUAUUACACCAGGAUGUUUUACAGUCACGUUUCUCACUCGUCUGCUGAAUGCAACUGUUCACAGUCAUAGUGAUUAUUGAUUAUAUAGGUGAGUGUCUGUCUUUGUGGUAUUUCUCCUGGAUUAGCCAGAUCAUUAAUUUCAUGGCAUAUGCUGCUUACUGACACUUCUGGGAAAUCGGAAAUCUGAAUAAACACUUUUACCAGAAAUUAUAUUAGAUUUAAUAUUUGACUAAGAGAUUCCCAGAUAUUUAACAUUACACCAUAGUCAAGAGAGAAAGCUUGGGAAUUCCUGUGUGACUUCAGUUUGUAACCCAUGGCAUUUUAUUUCCCUUCCUUAAGGUCAUUCAAGCACAUAAGACAUCUUUACUCCUUUUUCCAUCCUGGGCAUCCUUUUCAGGCUCUGAGUUUCCAAGGAGCCAGGGAGCAUGCCUUAGAUCUUCCUGAGGUCUGCCUCUCACCUCUCAGCCAGGACCACCCACCAGGCCUGUGGUGACCCCUAGUGAUUUCCUCAAGUCUAGCCAGUUGCUUGCUGUACUGGUUUGAAUUGCAUGUAUUCCUGUUUAGUCGCUAAGUUGUGUCUGACUCUCUGAAGACCUGUAAAUUGUAGCCUUCCAGGCUCCUCUGUCCAUGAGAUUUUUCAGGCAAGAAUAAUGGAGUGCAUUACCAUUUCCUCCUCCAGGGGAUCGUCUGGACCCAGGGAUCACAUCCGCAUCUCCUGUGUCUCCUGCAUUGGCAGGCUGGUUCUUUACCACUGAGCCACCUGGGAAGGGUUGAAAGGUAGCCACCCCAAAAGAUACACCCAUCCAGAACCUGUGAAUGGGAACUUGUUUGGAAAAAGGAACUUUGCAGAUGGAAUUAAUUAAAAAAUCUAGAGAUGAGUUCAACCUGAGUUGCCUCAGUGUACCCUAAACCCACUUACAAGUGUUCUUACAAGAGACAGAGAUCAGCAAGCAUGGCUGGAAAAGACGGGAAGACACAUGAAGACGGAGAUGGUGAUGUAACCGCAGGGAACACUGAGGACCAUCAGAGCUGGAAGAAGCAAGGAGGGAUCCUCUCCCUGAGCCUGCAGAGGAACCACGGCCCUGCUGACACCUUGAUUUUGGACUUCUAGGCUCCAAAACUGUGAGACUAAAUUUCUGUUGUUUCAUGAUACCUGGCUUGUGAUAAUUGGCUAUGGCAGCCCUACGAAACUAAUAUAGCAGUCCAGCCUGCUUUCUGCCAGGCACUGGUCUCUCCCAACUCUCUCUUCAGUAGUGCCUGGGGAGGGUAAUUUAUAUGCACACAUUCCAGCUUUAUUUAGUUUACUUUACCUUUUAAUAUUCAGAGGCUUCAGACAUAGGCAUCUCAGCCUCACAUCUUCAACCUGAAGAUAGCGGGGAUUUGAGGCUACAGUUAAUAGGUAUCUUCCCAUCCCUAUGCUCAUGAUAGACAGUCAUCUCGAGCACUCUCUCUCCUUACUCUGAUUUCUCUUCUACAGCAUCUUGGCAGGGGGAUUUUCCUGGGACUUGCUUGCUUGCUUGCAAUUAUUUAUUUAUUUUUAUAUGGACCAUUCUUAAAGUUUUUAUUGAAUUUGUUACAAUAUUGCUUCUGUGUUAUGUUUUGGUCAUGAGGCAUGUGGGAUCUUAGUUCCUCCACCAGGGAUCAAACUUGCAUCCCCUGAAUCGGAAGCUGAAGUCUUAACCACUGGACCACCAGGCAAGUCCCCUCACUUAUUUGCAUUUAUUCAUAGACAAGGAGCUCACCAGCCUCAGGGCAGCCUGUCUGAUUAGAGGCUAUCUGCCUGUUAAGAUGUAGUAGCCAGAUGCCAAAACAAAUUUGCUUGUUUGCCUAUAACUUCACCCACUUUGGAGUAAUAUGAGAUACACAGGUUUCCUAUAUUGGCAGAGAGCUGACACCAUCCCUGGGUCUACUGGUGUCAAGGUGAACAGCCCUGCUUUCUCCAGGUAGUCAGUGUGCUGUGCUCUCUGGCCUCCCUCCAAAUGCAGUGUGCUCUCCUCUGCAGCUGUUUCUCCAGCCCAGGCACUUUCAUGGAGGCUCCCAAGGAUGAUCAGCGCUCUCUGGCCCCUCGCACCACAGCCCUGGGUGAGGGGACUAGACACCAAUUGUCCUCCUGUUUGUUCGCCCCCCUGCCUUUAGGAAGAGUCCCACACUCUGCGAUUCUGAAGAGGCUGAUCAAGGGCGUCAACAUUCUCACCCCAGGGAAAACAGGGACCCCUGAAAGAGCACCUCAGACCCCUGGACACAGUGGAUGGGGUUAGACGGACUCUUGCAGGGGCUAAUUUAUGUUUAUGAGAUGUUGUUAUCAUGUAAGCCUGAGCCGCUCAAACUCUAUUUUCCCGUUUCUGGGAAAGAACCUAAUAGAAAAUGCCUCAGACACAAUGAAAAGCAAUGGAGAAAGAGAGAAAAACAAAGAGGGCGGUGAGGGAAGGAAGAGAUGAAGAGAGAUGAGAGACUGAAUUCUGGGGAUAUUCUUGGAGCAUCUGGAUUCAGCUCUGUUUAAUGCUAACCCACCCCAGG
ensembl:lncRNA